AUUUAUAAUUUCCUCCACUACAGCUACUUCAAACUAUUCAUCUCAGCCUUCGUCUCAUCCAUCUCUCAGCCGAUAUUGCCUCCUCCGCCAACGCCGCGAACCACCGCGACCUGUAGUAGACGCAACUGCCGACGCCGCCAUUCUGUCUCGACCUACUACUGACCCUACUAGCCUCCGCCACCGCCACUGCGUGCUGGCCUCCACCACCGCUGAUCUGGACGGAUUUGCUCCCUUUUCGCUCAAAAUAUACUCACCGGAAGAAGUAGAACCGGAGAUUCAAGCUUAUAGUCGGCAGGCAUCGCCUCAAACCGACGACGCUCCUCCUUUCGCUAGUCGUCGCCUCAAACCGACGGGGGAGGUGAAUGCUGUGAAGUUUAAUGAUUAUGCUACUGUAGUUGUAUCUUCUGGAUAUGAUAAAUCUUUGCGUGUCUGGGACUGCAAAUCUCACAGCACUGAACCAAUUCAGAAAGCUAAGAUUGAAGAGGGUAACAAGAGUUCCAGCCAUAAGCAUGAAGCUUUCAGACAUUCCACCCGAUGAUUAUUCAUGGCGGAAAUAUGGACAGAAGCCCAUCAAAGGAUCCCCACACCCAAGGUUUUGAUUUGUCGAAAUGAAGGUGAAAGGUGCUUGAAAGAAACAUCUAUUAAUUCACUGAGGAUAAGCCUCAAGGCCCCAAGUACAGUGCAGGCAAAUGCUGAAUCAGAUGCAAAGGCAUCUGAAGGGAAGGAAAAUGUUUCUGGGAAAAAUCAAAGGGAAGUUCUGGUGGCAAAGCCGAAAGCAAAAAAGCAGCUUCUAUCUCAGGAAAUGAUGGUGCCACCCAAAGGGCUACUAGAACAUGCUCUAUUGUUGUUGAGGAAUCGGUGAGAAGCCUUGAUGAGAAGUUAGCAUCUGCUCUCGAUGAGUGCAACGCUAAAGAUGAAUUAGUCACAAAGUUCACAAAAAUGGCGGAAGAAGCCAUUGCAGCUCACAAGAAAGCGGAGGCUGAAAUUAUGUGUUUGAAGGAAGAGUUAGAAGAAUGGAAGGCUAACUCACCUUACCAGUGCAUUGAAGGAUUGUAUGCAGAAAUGAAGGAAGAGCUGGCUAUUUAUGGACCUAUAUCAAAUGAUAUGUCCUCCAUAUCAAGCCAUGAAUCGAAGAAGGAGCAUCAAAGUGUUUCUACUGAAGCUUGGGCUUGUGCUUUGAUAUCUGAACUAGAGCAUUUCAAGAAUCAUAAGGACCAGAAGAGUAACUCUGAACAGAAAAUGAUUGGAGUUUCAGAGAUGAGGCUAAUGGAUGAUUUUGUCGAAAUGGAAAAACUAGCAAUAGUAGCAAAUAUCUUCAAACAUAUUGAUGAAUGAAUUCUCUUCAAGAA